GACGAACGCUGGCGGCGUGCUUAACACAUGCAAGUCGAACGGAAAGGCCCUGCUUUUGUGGGGUGCUCGAGUGUCGAACGGGUGAGUAACACGUGAGUAACCUGCCCUUGACUUUGGGAUAACUUCAGGAAACUGGGGCUAAUACCGGAUAGGAGCUCCUGCUGCAUGGUGGGGGUUGGAAAGUUUCGUCGGUUGGGGAUGGACUCGCGGCUUAUCAGCUUGUUGGUGGGGUAGGGGCUUACCAAGGCUUUGACGGGUAGCCGGCCUGGGAGGGUGAGCGGCCACAUUGCGACUGAGAUACGGCCCAGACUCCUACGGGAGGCAGCAGUGGGGAAUAUUGCACAAUGGGCCGAAGCCUGAUGCAGCAACGCCGCGUGCGGGAAGACGGCCUUCGGGUGGUAAACCGCUUUCGCCUGUGACGAAGCGUGAGUGACGGUAAUGGGUAAAGAAGCACCGGCUAACUACGUG
rnacentral:rRNA from 1 species